AUGUCGAGGCCAAAGGGAUCUUGGGAGGGGUCCGAGACCAGCGAGGAGGACAUUCAGUACCUCUGUGACACCAGGCGGCUGCAGCCGGCGACAGAGAUGCCGGCGCGCGCGGCGGGCGGCGAGAUUGAGAAGCAGCCGCAGGAGGGCGAACGCGUGGUCUUCGCCAGCCACUUCAAGCGCGGGUAUGGCCUCCCCGCGAGCGACUUCUUCCGCGCCUUCCUAAAUUUCUUCGGGCUGCAGCCGCACCAUCUUGGCGCCAACGCCGUGCUGCAGCUCACCGACUUCACCACACUCUGCGAGGGGUACUUGGUCGUGGAGCCGGACGUGGAGCUCUGGAGUCGCCUCUUCUUCCUCAAGCAACAGGGGUCGGGGGCCGGGACCAUGUUCGACUAUGGGGCCGCCAUUAUCUCGGGCCAGCCGCACGGGCCGUUCCCCAAGAUGCCCCUGGAGGAUUCUGCCAACCAGUGGCAGAAUUCAUUCUUCUACAUGCGCAACGUCGGCACGGACCACGUCAACCUGCCGCCGUUCAUCAAUGAGCAGCUGCUCGCCAAGAUGAAUUGGAUUUAUCACCCCAAGAACCCGCUGCAGGCGGUACUGAAUCUCUGA
rnacentral:rRNA from 1 species